UGGGUAGGGGAGCGUUCUGUAAGCCGUUGAAGGUGGCCUGUGAGGGUUGCUGGAGGUAUCAGAAGUGCGAAUGCUGACAUAAGUAACGAUAAAGCGGGUGAAAAGCCCGCUCGCCGGAAGACCAAGGGUUCCUGUCCAACGUUAAUCGGGGCAGGGUGAGUCGACCCCUAAGGCGAGGCCGAAAGGCGUAGUCGAUGGGAAACGGGUUAAUAUUCCCGUACUUGGUGUUACUGCGAAGGGGGGACGGAGAAGGCUAUGUUGGCCGGGCGACGGUUGUCCCGGUUUAAGCGUGUAGGUGUGUGUUCCAGGUAAAUCCGGUUCACUUUAACACUGAGGCGUGACGACGAGGCACUACGGUGCUGAAGCAACAAAUGCCCUGCUUCCAGGAAAAGCCUCUAAGCAUCAGGUAACAUCAAAUCGUACCCCAAACCGACACAGGUGGUCAGGUAGAGAAUACCAAGGCGCUUGAGAGAACUCGGGUGAAGGAACUAGGCAAAAUGGUGCCGUAACUUCGGGAGAAGGCACGCUGACACGUAGGUGAAGUGAUUUACUCAUGGAGCUGAAGUCAGUCGAAGAUACCAGCUGGCUGCAACUGUUUAUUAAAAACACAGCACUGUGCAAACACGAAAGUGGACGUAUACGGUGUGACGCCUGCCCGGUGCCGGAAGGUUAAUUGAUGGGGUCAGCGCAAGCGAAGCUCCUGAUCGAAGCCCCGGUAAACGGCGGCCGUAACUAUAACGGUCCUAAGGUAGCGAAAUUCCUUGUCGGGUAAGUUCCGACCUGCACGAAUGGCGUAAUGAUGGCCAGGCUGUCUCCACCCGAGACUCAGUGAAAUUGAACUCGCUGUGAAGAUGCAGUGUACCCGCGGCAAGACGGAAAGACCCCGUGAACCUUUACUAUAGCUUGACACUGAACAUUGAGCCUUGAUGUGUAG
rnacentral:rRNA from 1 species